UGCUUGUCUCAAAGAUUAAGCCAUGCAUGUCUAAGUAUAAGCAACUAUACCGUGAAACUGCGAAUGGCUCAUUAAAUCAGUUAUCGUUUAUUUGAUAGUACCUUACUACAUGGAUAACCGUGGUAAUUCUAGAGCUAAUACAUGCUAAAAACCUCGACUUCGGAAGGGGUGUAUUUAUUAGAUAAAAAACCAAUGCCCUUCGGGGCUUCUUGGUGAUUCAUAAUAACUUAACGAAUCGCAUGGCCUUGCGCCGGCGAUGGUUCAUUCAAAUUUCUGCCCUAUCAACUUUCGAUGGUAGGAUAGUGGCCUACCAUGGUUUCAACGGGUAACGGGGAAUUAGGGUUCUAUUCCGGAGAGGGAGCCUGAGAAACGGCUACCACAUCCAAGGAAGGCAGCAGGCGCGCAAAUUACCCAAUCCCGACACGGGGAGGUAGUGACAAUAAAUACUGAUACAGGGCUCUUUUGGGUCUUGUAAUUGGAAUGAGUACAAUUUAAAUCCCUUAACGAGGAACAAUUGGAGGGCAAGUCUGGUGCCAGCAGCCGCGGUAAUUCCAGCUCCAAUAGCGUAUAUUAAAGUUGUUGCAGUUAAAAAGCUCGUAGUUGAACCUUGGGCCUGGCUGGUCGGUCCGCCUCACCGCGUGCACUGAUCCGGCCGGGCCUUUCCUCCUGGGGAGCCGCAUGCCCUUCACUGGGUGUGUCGGGGAACCAGGACUUUUACUUUGAAAAAAUUAGAGUGUUCAAAGCAGGCAUAUGCUCGAAUACAUUAGCAUGGAAUAAUAGAAUAGGACGUCGCGGUUCUAUUUUGUUGGUUUCUAGGACCGCCGUAAUGAUUAAUAGGUUCAGUCGGGGGUGUCAGUAUUGCCGUGUCAGAGGUGAAAUUCUUGGAUUUCGGCAAGACUAACUACUGCGAAAGCAUUCACCAAGGAUGUUUUCAUUAAUCAGUGAACGAAAGUUAGGGGAUCGAAGACGAUCAGAUACCGUCGUAGUCUUAACCAUAAACUAUGCCGACUAGGGAUCGGGCGAUGUUAUCUUUUUGACUCGCUCGGCACCUUACGAGAAAUCAAAGUUUUUGGGUUCUGGGGGGAGUAUGGUCGCAAGGCUGAAACUUAAAGAAAUUGACGGAAGGGCACCACCAGGAGUCAGCGCUUAGCUCCUAGAAGCAGGUCCCUAGGGAUCGGUGGCAUAGCCUAUACACACUGCUAGUCUCCCUGUGAGGCAACACGUUCAAUGUGCGAGAAGGCCCAUCACUGGGAAAUUCGCAACCAGCCCUCCUACCCGGGGUUCGGUUCAGAGACUCAAUGAACGUGGGUGCGGCGCGCUCAGCGCCGCGCUUGAGAUAGAGCCCGGCUAGGCUGGCAACAGCCUAGAAUCAGCGGGAGCCUGCGGCUUAAUUUGACUCAACACGGGGAAACUCACCAGGUCCAGACACAAUAAGGAUUGACAGAUUGAGAGCUCUUUCUUGAUUUUGUGGGUGGUAAACGCCAUGUAUUGCCACCGAGAGCUGCCUAGCAGCUAGUGGGCUUAUGCCUGCAAGACUUCCAACUUGCUGGAAAACGUCAGGCGGUCACCGCCUGGCAAUCAGCAGCAUGCCCUGUACUUACAGGCGUGUUCACAGACUAAAUAGAAGUCGAUCGCCUACAGCGGCGGUUUGAGAUAUAGCCGAGCGUUCUCCAGCCAUGGGGAAUAUUAACAUGCUGGGUGCAUGGCCGUUCUUAGUUGGUGGAGUGAUUUGUCUGCUUAAUUGCGAUAACGAACGAGACCUUAACCUGCUAAAUAGCCAGGCUAGCUUUGGCUGGUCGCCGGCUUCUUAGAGGGACUAUCGGCUCAAGCCGAUGGAAGUUUGAGGCAAUAACAGG
rnacentral:rRNA from 1 species